UGUGUGUUAGUGGAAGCGUCUGGAAAGGCGCGCGAUACAGGGUGACAGCCCCGUACACAAAAAUGCACAUGCUGUGAGCUCGAUGAGUAGGGCGGGACACGUGGUAUCCUGUCUGAAUAUGGGGGGACCAUCCUCCAAGGCUAAAUACUCCUGACUGACCGAUAGUGAACCAGUACCGUGAGGGAAAGGCGAAAAGAACCCCGGCGAGGGGAGUGAAAAAGAACCUGAAACCGUGUACGUACAAGCAGUGGGAGCACGCUUCGGCGUGUGACUGCGUACCUUUUGUAUAAUGGGUCAGCGACUUAUAUUCUGUAGCAAGGUUAACCGAAUAGGGGAGCCGAAGGGAAACCGAGUCUUAACUGGGCGUUAAGUUGCAGGGUAUAGACCCGAAACCCGGUGAUCUAGCCAUGGGCAGGUUGAAGGUUGGGUAACACUAACUGGAGGACCGAACCGACUAAUGUUGAAAAAUUAGCGGAUGACUUGUGGCUGGGGGUGAAAGGCCAAUCAAACCGGGAGAUAGCUGGUUCUCCCCGAAAGCUAUUUAGGUAGCGCCUCGUGAAUUCAUCUCCGGGGGUAGAGCACUGUUUCGGCAAGGGGGUCAUCCCGACUUACCAACCCGAUGCAAACUGCGAAUACCGGAGAAUGUUAUCACGGGAGACACACGGCGGGUGCUAACGUCCGUCGUGAAGAGGGAAACAACCCAGACCGCCAGCUAAGGUCCCAAAGUCAUGGUUAAGUGGGAAACGAUGUGGGAAGGCCCAGACAGCCAGGAUGUUGGCUUAGAAGCAGCCAUCAUUUAAAGAAAGCGUAAUAGCUCACUGGUCGAGUCGGCCUGCGCGGAAGAUGUAACGGGGCUAAACCAUGCACCGAAGCUGCGGCAGCGACGCUUAUGCGUUGUUGGGUA
rnacentral:rRNA from 1 species